GGUGACAGGAAGGAGAGCAUGAGAAGAAAAGAGGACAUGGAGAGCGCAACAAUUUGAUGGACAGAAAAAUACCGUUCAAGAGUAAGCUGCAUCCCAAUUUGGACUUUGUGUUCACUGUUAAAUAAAGAAAAGUGCAUUUUUCCAGUGUAUGGCCAGAUAUGGUUUUACAAUGCGGCUCAGAUCUGGGCCGAAUGCG